UGAUCAAGCAUAAUUUAGCCACAUUUUUAUUAUAUUUAUUAUUGCUUAUUUACACAUUUUUCAACUUAAUUUAUGGUUUUUAUCUUGUUUUUGUAGAAAAGGAAGAAAUUGGAAAACUGGAGAAAAAGUGCAGAAAAUGACAAGAAAAGUGAUUGGGUCAGUAACUUGGUCAAAUCACUGCCCAGAUCAAGCUAAAGCAGAAACCUGAACUAUCUCACCAGAGACUGAUUGGGUCAAUGAAUUGGCCAAGUCACCCGCAGGAACAGAAACCCGGAGGCAACACGCAGAAAUGAUUUGGGCAUGACGAUUUGCCCAAAUCACUGCCCAAAUCAAGCGGAGGAAGCAGAGACAGAAAGCUAAAAACUGGACUGACUCACAGAAAGCGAUUGGGGCAGCGAUCUGCCCAAAUCACCGCCCAAUCACACUGACAGCAGAAAAUACAGUAGAAGCGGGAAAGUGCAGAAAUUCAAG
rnacentral:lncRNA from 1 species